UGGAUGGGGCAGUGCGGACGCUGAGGGGCUGUGAUUGCACGGGAGACCACGGCCCCAACCUCCUCGAGGGACAUUUUUCUGCCCAUAGCCACGCCCUUGACGAAAUUCAUUUUGAAAACCACGCCCUAAAUGAAAUUUCAUCUUCGGAACGCCCUUAAGGGGCGGGGCCUGCCACAGAAUCCAAUCGCGUCACAGAUGGGGACUAGCGUUUCUCUGAUUCGCGGUUGGAGGACGCGGCCGUUCCCGCCCACCCUGCUGUCUUCACCAAUCCGAAACCUCAAACUCAACCCCCCCCCCCCCUUCCACUUCCGGCAAAUUCACUCGCCCGAAAUGGAAGCGCUGUGCUUGGUUUUGGCCGCCGUCCCUCGCCGUCCUCACGUUCUGAGGUCAUGGUUCCUGCGUCACCGCAUGGCUCCCUGAUCACAUGACCUCCUAGGAAGGCCCGAGUGCUCAAUGGAGGGGGGUGAAGUUCUUCCUGGGUGUCCCGCCGGUGUCCACACCUGCCCCGUGAGGAGCCCCUUUUAGAUGCGUCUUGUGGGUGUGGAGAUUUCAGCCGGUGGAUGAAUUACGGCGUGAGGAGCAGCGUGCGUCUUCAUCACGCACUGCUGGCUGUGCGUCUUCGCGGGUAUUGUUCAGAUGCUGCUCGGGCUGCUCUCAGCUUCUCAGUUUCCCGCGGGUACUGCAAGAGGACUUCAGAGUGCGGUUUGAGUUCCUCACGUGUUCACCCUCCUGGAUUUGGGAUGGCUUUGUGAGGCCCGGGGCAGAAGGACUGAGGUCUGGCGCCUUGUGACCACAGUGCAGAACGUGGUGGCCACCACCCAGGACAUAGACACCCAUGCUUCCCUCCCCGAGCUUCCAAGUGGAGAGCGACUCCACCAAAAUGUCAUUUGUCCUGGGUCAGUUUGAGCCUGACCUAACAGUUCUCCUGCUGGAAAAAAAAAAAUCCUGAGGUGUUCACGGGUGGGAACUGUCUAUGCAACAAGAACAGGGCGCAGCGGGUGUGCGAUGCUAGCCCAGGAAAACGGACCGGGUAGAGGCCCUUCUGCCAGGUGCUGCACACGCGAGGCAUUGCUGAGCACCGACGGGCAGCAUCCAUUUACAGACAAAAUGACUGCGAUCGCUGAUUUCAAAUACACGUUUCCAGCAGCCCAUGCUCAUGGACCCAUUUAAAAGGAAGAGGAGCGUCCACAGUUUACCUAGUCACCUACCCCAUGGCUUUGGUUGCCUCUUGUAUUCUGCUGUGCAGUUUGUAACGCUACUUUUACUUCUAGGCCUAAGUACUGUAUCUGGCUUCUUUGAAUGCAGUACAUAAUUUGCCCCGCUGCAGUAAUGGAUGUCCAAUAAACCUGCCAUUUUGAGUAAACACCAGUAAAAUCAUGUUUAAAACCCACAAAACCUUAGGCUCUUAAAGACAGCCAGGCUCCAAGACCACAGUCUAGCCAUCCCUGCCUGGGAUGUUUCAAAAAAAAUUAACGAGCUUCACCAGAUGUUGCCUGGUUUCUGCUUUCUGGCUCCUUUGAGAGCUGUUUUGCUUCCACUCUUUUGGCGGUACAACUUAAAUGUCUGGUUUCAUUCAUUCAUUUAUUUACUCAAUUUAUU